rnacentral:rRNA from 1 species
GACGAACGCUGGCGGCGUGCUUAACACAUGCAAGUCGAACGGAAAGGCCCUGCUUUUGUGGGGUGCUCGAGUGGCGAACGGGUGAGUAACACGUGAGUAACCUGCCCUUGACUUUGGGAUAACUUCAGGAAACUGGGGCUAAUGCCGGAUAGGAACUCCUGCUGCAUGGUGGGGGUUGGAAAGUUUCGGCGGUUGGGGAUGGACUCGCGGCUUAUCAGCUUGUUGGUGGGGUAGUGGCUUACCAAGGCUUUGACGGGUAGCCGGCCUGAGAGGGUGACCGGCCACAUUGGGACUGAGAUACGGCCCAGACUCCUACGGGAGGCAGCAGUGGGGAAUAUUGCACAAUGGGCGGAAGCCUGAUGCAGCAACGCCGCGUGCGGGAUGACGGCCUUCGGGUUGUAAACCGCUUUCGCCUGUGACGAAGCGUGAGUGACGGUAAUGGGUAAAGAAGCACCGGCUAACUACGUG